rnacentral:ncRNA from 2 species
CGGGGCGGGAGACAGUGUCAGGCGGGCAGUUUGACUGGGGCGGUCGCCUCCUAAAAUGUAACGGAGGCGCCCAAAGGUUCCCUCAGAAUGGUUGGAAAUCAUUCGCAGAGUGUAAAGGCACAAGGGGGCUUGACUGCGAGACCUACAAGUCGAGCAGGGACGAAAGUCGGGCUUAGUGAUCCGGUGGUUCCGCAUGGAAGGGCCAUCGCUCAACGGAUAAAAGCUACCCCGGGGAUAACAGGCUUAUCUCCCCCAAGAGUCCACAUCGACGGGGAGGUUUGGCACCUCGAUGUCGGCUCAUCGCAU